GAUGAACGCUGGCGGUGUGCCUAAUACAUGCAAGUCGAACGCUGACGGAAUGAGCUCGUUCUUUUCGGGUGAGCUGCUAACGGGUGAGUAACGAGUAGGUAACCUGCUAGGUAGUGGGGGAUAAUUAUUUGAAACGAUAGCUACUACUGCAUAACACUAGCUGUUGCAUGAAACCUACGUACUAGGUGCCAUUGCAGCAUUACUAGAUGGAUCUGCGUUGUAUUAGCUAGUUGGUGAGGUAACGGCCAAACAAGGCCACGAUACAUAGCCGACCUGAGAGGGAGGUCGACCACAAUGGGACUGAGACAAGGGCCAGGAUCCUACGGGGGGCAGCAGUAGGGGAUCAUUGGACAUUGACGGAAGUCUGACCGAGCAACUACGGGGGAGUGAAGGAAGGUGUCGGAUCGUAAAAGUCCGUUGUAAGAGAAAGAAGAGUGGGAGAGUAAAAAGUUCACACUGUGACGGUAUCUUACGAGAAAGGGACGGCUAACUUCGUG
rnacentral:rRNA from 1 species